rnacentral:rRNA from 1 species
UGCCAGCAGCCGCGGUAAUACGAAGGGACCUAGCGUAGUUCGGAAUUACUGGGCUUAAAGAGCUCGUAGGUGGUUAGAAAAGUUGGUGGUGAAAUCCCAAGGCUUAACCUUGGAACUGCCAUCAAAACUUUUCAGCUAGAGUAUGAUAGAGGAAAGCAGAAUUUCUAGUGUAGAGGUGAAAUUCGUAGAUAUUAGAAAGAAUACCAAUUGCGAAGGCAACUUACUGGGUCACUACUGACACUGGGGAGCGAAAGCAUGGGUAGCGAAGAGGAUUAGAUA